AUAAAACAGAGGACCAAAUGGGAAAUUGGCCCAUUUAAAAAAGUGCGCGGAUCCUGGGACCGGGUCGGGUCACUGCGCGGGUCAUGGCCCCCAUACGGCGUCGUUUUGGUCUUGUUAUAAAAUCAAAAAUUUCCUUUCAAAAUUCAUUUUCUUUUCCAUUCUAAAUAGCAGAGAAACCUUCUGCUAGGGUUUCUCCCUUUUUUAUGUCGCCGCCGCCACUCAAGCCAUCCCACAGUCUCCGACGACACCUCAGCAUCCGAUUGCGACGGAGAGGAG
rnacentral:lncRNA from 1 species